UGGACAAGCUGACCUGAAAUCAUACUCACCCC
rnacentral:piRNA from 1 species